rnacentral:rRNA from 1 species
GAUGAACGCUGGCGGCGUGCCUAAUACAUGCAAGUCGAGCGAACAGACGAGGAGCUUGCUCCUCUGACGUUAGCGGCGGACGGGUGAGUAACACGUGGAUAACCUACCUAUAAGACUGGGAUAACUUCGGGAAACCGGAGCUAAUACCGGAUAACAUGUUGAACCGCAUGGUUCAACAGUGAAAGACGGUCUUGCUGUCACUUAUAGAUGGAUCCGCGCCGCAUUAGCUAGUUGGUAAGGUAACGGCUUACCAAGGCAACGAUGCGUAGCCGACCUGAGAGGGUGAUCGGCCACACUGGAGCGGAGACACGGUCCAGACUCCUACGGGAGGCAGCAGUAGGGAAUCUUCCGCAAUGGGCGAAAGCCUGACGGAGCAACGCCGCGUGAGUGAAGAAGGUCUUCGGAUCGUAAAACUCUGUUAUUAGGGAAGAACAAAUGUGUAAGUAACUAUGCACGUCUUGACGGUACCUAAUCAGAAAGCCACGGCUAACUACGUG